rnacentral:rRNA from 1 species
GUAGGGGGCAAGCGUUAUCCGGAUUUACUGGGUGUAAAGGGAGCGUAGACGGCGAGACAAGUCUGGAGUGAAAGUCCUGCUUUUAAGGUGGGAAUUGCUUUGGAUACUGUCGGGCUUGAGUGCAGGAGAGGUUAGUGGAAUUCCCAGUGUAGCGGUGAAAUGCGUAGAGAUUGGGAGGAACACCAGUGGCGAAGGCGACUAACUGGACUGUAACUGACGCUGAGGCGCGAAAGUGUGGGGAGCAAACAGGAUUAGAUACCCUGGUANUCCACACUGUAAACGAUGAAUGCUAGGUGUAGGGGGUAUCGACCCCUUCUGNGCCGCANNCAACACAAUANUCAUUCCGCCNGGGGAGC